GGGGGCGUUUUUGGAUUCGACGGGGAUAGUUCGGGCAUGGAUAGCGGGUAGUGGGGCUGUGUCCACUCUAAAACGCGGAAGCCUAUUAAACGGCAAACAACAACAAACCUACGCUUUCGCAGCCUAAUAACCUGUGAGCGUGCUUCUACCUUCCAUCGCCCAUGUGGCAGGAUAGGGGCUAACCUAUAGUGGGAUACGCUGUCUCAUCUCCGCCUGGGGUGAACUGAAGAAGACAAUCAGGCUGACCUUAUGAGGACCCUGUUGCAGGGGGCCGCCUAAGGUGACAUCAAAACUGCAACUACACCCGUAGAAGUCUAUGUUGCGUUGUCUUCGGACAGGGGUUCAACUCCCCUCGCCUCCAU
rnacentral:tmRNA from 1 species